rnacentral:tRNA from 1 species
GCUCUCAUCGUUCAAUGGAUAGUACAGCUCCCUCCGAAGGAGCAGAUGCAGGUUCGAUUCCUGCUGAGAGCACCA